GUGAAUCAUCGAAUUUUUGAACGCAAAUUGAACUGUCUUCGGAGAGUAUGCCUGUUUGAGGGUCAGCCUAAAAAAAAAUUGACAUAGUCGCUGUUUCGCGGAGAAAUAUGUUGGAAAUUGGGUCAUUUUAAACCUUUGGGUUUUAAGAGGCUUAAAAUUCUUUUUACGUUUCAAGGAACGUUUCUAAGAUUUACUUCUUAUUCGUUUAAGGUAUCGAUCUUUAUUAGAUGUGGCG
rnacentral:misc_RNA from 1 species